GGCGGCCGCUUUGCUUUGCAAAGAGGAAAGUCCGGACUCCACAGGGCAGGAAGUCCUUCUUCAAGAAGGAUGUCGCGGGGGCAACCCCGCGGGAAGGAAAGCGCAACAGAGAACAGACCGCCGGGCGUUUCGGCGUCCGGCAAGGGUGAAACGGCGGUGUAAGAGACCACCGGGCGCCGGAGCAAUCCGGGCCGCAUGGCAAGCCCCUUCCGGAGCAAGGCCAAAUAGGGGACGAUGCCGCUGCCCGCGGCGUUAUCAGUCCCGGGUUCUGGCCGCUUAGACAGAUGGCCGCCCCCGCGCGCAAGUGCGGAGACAGAAUCCGGCUUAUGUUGCAGUU
rnacentral:RNase_P_RNA from 1 species